rnacentral:rRNA from 1 species
AUAGCUCUAGGGACUAUCUAGGGUAGAGCCUGCCCAGUGCAAUUAGUUAACGGCCGCAGUACCCUGACUGUGCUAAGGUAGCAUAAUCAGUUGGCUUUUAAAUGGAGUCGGGAAUGAAUGGACAAAUGGGGCUGAGCUGUCUCCCUUAUAAUUAUUUGAAUUUCCUUAGGAGGUGAAAAUGCCUUCAUUUAGAAGAAAGACGAGAAGACCCUAGGAGUUUUUAUAAAGAGUUUUAGUAAAGCUUACAUUUUUGUUGGGGCGACACGAGAGCAAAUUAAACCUCUCUUAUUAAUAUGCCGACACUGGUAUGAAAAAUUAAACUACCCUAGGGAUAACAGCGUAAUUCUUUUUGAGUUUGCGACCUCGAUGUUGGACUAGGAAUUUACAGCUACCGCCUCAGAU